rnacentral:lncRNA from 1 species
GUCGGCUCGGAGGCGGUGGCUCCGGGUCCUGCCCGCGCGCGGAGGGGCGAAUCCCAGGCGGCGAGGUCGCCGCCCCCGCCCCUCGGCCAGCCCCUCCGUUUGCCGGGGAGAGGGGAGUGGCCGCACGCCUCCCGCCGCAGCCGAGCUCUCCGCAGCAGCCCAGCACUCUGCAGUCGGGCGCGCACGGGAGCCCAGCGCGGCGCGUGGAGGCGGUGCGGGAGCGCGGGGCGCGCGAAGGGCCGGCAGCCGCGGGACAGCGUCCGCCCAGCAGCCUCCGUCGAGCAGCCGCCGCGGGAGCCCCGCAGCUUCGCGGUGGGCCCGCGUCCCGGAACGCGAGGACGACCAGGAGGCGGAGCGGGGCCCCGCGAGGUAGCGCGAGCGCUUUCCCCCUCUCCCCUGCCCGCUUGCACCGGCCGCGGCCCGCUAGGGGCGGCGGAGUGGGCGCCUCGCGCCUUUGUGCCCGACGUCCCCGUGGCCCCGCCGCAGGCUGUGGGGCACGGGUCAGCGGGGGUUGCGGCGCUCUCCUCCGGGCGCUGCGGCGCGGCGGCGAGAACCCGCGCACGCUGGAGGUCGCGCGGGGUGGUCGUGACUCCGCAGUUGCUUCGGGGGCGGGUGGGAGAGAAGGCUUGUAAACUAAGUUGCUCUUACUUUGCCCCAUCCUCCUUGUACCUGUGGACAGAGUGGAAUCCAGAUCUUCCUCGUUCUCACCCACAACCCCUCCUUUUCUCUGGCCCACAGCUGUUUCCUGGCCCCCUGGUUCUAGGGAAGGGCACGGAGUGGCCUCAGGGAAGGAAAGCGUUGGGAGAACAAUGGGGCGUCCUGGGGAGUGGGGUUCAGGUGCGGCGUGCCCCGGCGGCGGCGGCGGGAGGGGAGAAGGGGGUCCAGGACCCGAUGGGGCGUCCCGCGCGUGCAGCUGCGCUCUGCUCCUUUGUUCCGCCGCGGCGGAGGGGGCUGCCCUGGGUCUCGUUUCCUGCCCGGGAGGGGAUUGAUUCACGGUCGUUGAGAAGGAAGGGGAGGGAGCGGGGCCGGAAUGAAAACCAGAUUAGGAACUGGAGUCCUGGAGGGUGCUUGCUGGGGCUGGGAAGAGGGUUGGGAAAGGGUUGA